rnacentral:rRNA from 1 species
CCUACGGGAGGCAGCAGUGAGGAAUAUUGGUCAAUGGACGCAAGUCUGAACCAGCCAUGCCGCGUGCAGGAAGACGGCUCUAUGAGGGGUAAACUGCUGUUGUACGAGGGAAAACGCAGAUACGCGUAUCUGUCUGAAAGUAUCGUACGAAUAAGGAUCGGCUAACUCCGUGCCAGCAGCCGCGGUAAUACGGAGGAUUCAAGCGUUAUCCGGAUUUAUUGGGUUUAACGGGUGCGUAGGCGGUCGGAUAAGUUAGAGGUGAAAUCCCGGGGCUCAACUUCGGAAUUGCCUCUGAUACUGUUCGGCUAGAGCGUAGUUGCGGUAGGCGGAAUGUCUGGUGUAGCGGU